rnacentral:rRNA from 1 species
UUUAGAUAUGGUCGGUCCCGGCUGGAAACCGUCGGGAUAAGUAUCUGUACUGUUGCAUAACGUUCCGUAGGUGAACCUGCGGAAGGAUCAUUUAUGAAUGCAAGGGUGCUCUUUUUUGAGACCCGACCCAUCUCAUUUUCUCACACCGUGCACACACUUCUUUUCACCAUUUUUAACACAAGUCUUUAGAAUGUAAUCAAGUCUCGUAAUUGAGCAUAAAAGUUUUACAACUUUCGGCAACGGAUCUCUUGGCUCCCGCAUCGAUGAAGAACGCAGCGAAAUGCGAUACGUAAUGUGAAUUGCAGAAUUCAGUGAAUCAUCGAAUCUUUGAACGCACCUUGCGCCCUUUGGUAUUCCGAAGGGCAUGUCUGUUUGAGUGUCGUGAAACUCUCAACCCCCCUGUUUUGUAAUGAGGCAGGCGCUUGGGCUUGGAUUUUGGCUGCUGUCGGACCCGAGAGGGACCGGCUCGGCUGAAAUACAUGAGUGUACCCUGCCUUCAGACGGCAGCGGCUUGACUCGGCGUAAUAAUACUAUUCGCUGGGGACGCUGCAUUGAUGUCUGGACCGUGGACGCUUCUAAUGCUUCGACGUAGUCGAAACCUUUCCUUCUAGACCUCAAAUCAGGCAGGACUACCCGCUGAACUUUAGCAUAUCAAUAAGCGGAGG